GCAUAUCUAAUAAGCGGAGGAAAAGAAACCAACAGGGAUUGCCUCAGUAACGGCGAGUGAAGCGGCAACAGCUCAAAUUUGAAAUCUGGCCCUAGGCCCGAGUUGUAAUUUGCAGAGGAUGCUUCUGGCGCGGUGCCUUCCAAGUCCCCUGGAACGGGGCGCCAUAGAGGGUGAGAGCCCCGUCUGGUUGGCCGCCAAGCCUGUGUGAAGCUCCUUCGACGAGUCGAGUAGUUUGGGAAUGCUGCUCUAAAUGGGAGGUAGACCCCUUCUAAAGCUAAAUACCGGCCAGAGACCGAUAGCGCACAAGUAGAGUGAUCGAAAGAUGAAAAGCACUUUGAAAAGAGGGUUAAACAGUACGUGAAAUUGUUGAAAGGGAAGCGCUUGUGACCAGACGUGCUUCGGGGUGUUCAGCGGGCGUUCUCGCCCGUGCACUCGCCCCGUUGCAGGCCAGCGUCGGUUCGGGUGGGGGGACAAAGGCGUCGGGAACGUAGCUCCUCCGGGAGUGUUAUAGCCCAGCGUGCCAUGCCCCCGCCUGGACCGAGGUUCGCGCUCCGCAAGGACGCUGGCGUAAUGGUCCCCAGCGGCCCGUCUUGAAACACGGACCAAGGAGUCGAGGUUUUGCGCGAGUGUUUGGGUGUCAAACCCGCACGCGUAAUGAAAGUGAACGCAGGUGGGAGCUUCGGCGCACCACCGACCGAUCCUGAUGUUCUCGGAUGGAUUUGAGUAAGAGCGUAGGGCCUCGGACCCGAAAGAUGGUGAACUAUACGUGAAUAGGGUGAAGCCAGAGGAAACUCUGGUGGAGGCUCGCAGCGGUUCUGACGUGCAAAUCGAUCGUCAAAUUUGCGUAUGGGGGCGAAAGACUAAUCGAACC
rnacentral:rRNA from 1 species